GCGUCUGCGCUCGGGAAAAGAGGCCACCGCCACCAGCACCUCCUGCAGAUAAACUCUCUCCCUUUCAAAUCUUCCCACCUCCCACCCCAUACCCUCGAUCCCUGGAAGGCCUUCCGCUCUCUCCCUUCGUCUCCGACGCCGAGGAAAUAUGAGCAGCCGAGCCAGCCGAACCGUCUAUGUGGGAAACCUACCAGGAGAUAUUCGUGAGAGAGAGGUUGAGGAUCUGUUUUACAAGUAUGGACCCAUUAUUGAUAUUGAUUUGAAGAUUCCUCCAAGGCCUCCAGGUUAUGCAUUCAUUGAGUUUGAAGAUGCUCGUGAUGCUGAAGAUGCUAUUUAUGGUCGUGAUGGUUAUAAUUUUGAUGGUCACAGAUUACGGGUGGAACUUGCACAUGGUGGGAGAGGCUAUUCUUCUUCUGUGGACCGUUACAGCAGUUACAGUCGUGGUGGAGUCUCGAGGCGCUCUGAAUAUCGUGUGCUGGUUACUGGUUUACCUUCUUCUGCCUCAUGGCAAGACCUGAAGGAUCACAUGCGUCGUGCUGGUGAUGUCUGUUUCUCUGAAGUGUUUCGUGAUGGCAGAGGCACUUCAGGCAUUGUAGACUAUACGAACUAUGAUGAUAUGAAAUAUGCGGUCAGAAAACUUGACGACUCUGAAUUCCGGAAUGCAUUUUCUCGGGCAUAUAUAAGAGUAAGGGAAUAUGAUCGGAGGCGAAGCCUAUCUAGGAGCCGCAGCCGUUCCUACUCCAGAAGCAGAAGCCCUAGCCAUAGUCACAGUUAUGGCCGUAGCAGCAGCCACAGCCGAAGCAACUCUCCAAAAGGCAGGUCAGCACAUCGCUCGUUUUCUAGAUCUCGAUCAAGAUCUGUUUCAUCUCGCUCUCGUUCGGGAUCAAGGGAGCACUCUCUGUCAGGAUACGGGCUUGUGCGGCGAUUUGGGGAUUGCAUAGUGGGGACUUGAUGGGAUACUGCAAGUGCCUACGAUCUUUUGGUGAUGUAUGCUGUUCAAUAAAAUGAGAAAGUCUUGGAAACCUGGCUUUUUAUUUAAAAAAAUAAUAAUAAAAUACCACAUGUUAUAUGGCAUAUAGCUAGUAGCAAUGGGAGUUGAGGGGGACUGAAUGGAUGGGUUGAGCUGGAUUACUCAGAACUAAGUGGAAUUGAGACUCGCCAAACAGUGGUAGAAAGAAUGAUCAUUUCUUCUCCAAGUUCACCUCACCAUUAGGAGUUGCGCUCAGGAGCUUGGAUAUGGAUUUUGGUGGUACAGAUAGAAAAGUAUUUCUUCACUCCUUGUAUGUUACACAUAAUAGAUUCUUUUAUUUUCUCCUUAGGUUUUUGCUGUCUGGUAGCUGGCAGUCGUAUUAUAGUCUUCCUUGAUUGCGGCUGCUGUCUUCCUUUCUCCAUUUACAAUGUUUUGAAGAAUAAUCAAUGGUUUAUUUUCCUGUGCUGCUAAAGUUAUUUGAGUUUUUCUUCUGUUACUAUGGUACUCUGACGUGGAAGAGGCGUCGAGGCUUUUGGAUCAAGUUUAAAAAGCAACUUGAUGGAUAUUGUGGAUAUUGAAUUCGGUUGUUUCUGGAACUUUUGCAGAUCACGAUCAAGAUCCAGAUCACCAAUUGCUUCACCCCCGCGGGACAAACGAGCGAGCAGGAGCACGAGCUCAUCUCGGUCUAGAUCUCCUGCUAUGCCUGAUCGUAGCCGAUCUGUUGAUUCUCGAGGCCGUUAAAGGAGAAGUAACUGCCUGAGCUGAAUAGGUGCAAAAUUUUACAGAAGACUCUUAAUACUCGGACAUUUGGUUAUUGCUGUUAGAAAUGAUCUCGUGUUGUAAACUUUUCGAUCGUAGGACGUGAUAUUAUUUAUGUGAUAAAAAUAUAUCGUUUGUGUCGGGUAUUGAUGCUGUAGUUGGCAGGAUCUUGUGCAUUGCAGUGAGUUCACUCUUUGAUGCUGCCUUUUAUUAGUAAGGUGGGUGACAAAUGCAUACUGUUGGGCAUGCUUUCGACU